rnacentral:rRNA from 1 species
AACGAACGCUGGCGGCAUGCCUAACACAUGCAAGUCGAACGAACCCUUCGGGGUUAGUGGCGCACGGGUGCGUAACGCGUGGGAAUCUGCCCUUGGCUUCGGAAUAACAGUUAGAAAUGACUGCUAAUACCGGAUGAUGUCUUCGGACCAAAGAUUUAUCGGCCAGGGAUGAGCCCGCGUAGGAUUAGGUAGUUGGUGAGGUAAAGGCUCACCAAGCCGACGAUCCUUAGCUGGUCUGAGAGGAUGAUCAGCCACACUGGGACUGAGACACGGCCCAGACUCCUACGGGAGGCAGCAGUGGGGAAUAUUGGACAAUGGGCGCAAGCCUGAUCCAGCAAUGCCGCGUGAGUGAUGAAGGCCUUCGGGUCGUAAAGCUCUUUUACCCGGGAUGAUAAUGACAGUACCGGGAGAAUAAGCUCCGGCUAACUCCGUGCCAGCCGCCGCCGUAAUAC